GAAAAGCGUCCUUCAUAGCGGUUUACUUCGUUUCGAGUCGCUCUGCAAAAAAAUAGUUAUAUGUAGAAGUUAUUUCCUGUUAACUGCGAAACGAUUAGACUCAAACAGGGCUAUACUUACAUCCGAAGUUAGUAUUUUUGUCAACGAAGUGAUGGAUCUGCUCAAGGAUUUGACCAAUCCCAACGAUUCGGACCGUUGAUGUCGCCACUAGACUCACAUUUAUAGUGCAAAAGAAUUAACACAAUGAAAAGUGAAGGAAAAACAAGGAACUAAGGGUAAAAAGCGACAACAAAAGCACCAGCGAAACCUAAAUUAGUGCCAAGCUUUAUCAACUCCAUCAAAUAAGAAAAUAAUUGGAAAAACAUGCGUUAGUGGUGGGGUAAAUAAAUACUAUUCCGGUCGAUAAACAUAUGAAUUUAUUUUUAUAAACAAUGUUAACAAAACUACUAUAAGGGCCCCUUCAGCACACAGCACUUUUUAAGGUAAAACACCCCAAUUUUCAAGGGUAAAUAAAAAGCAGUGGGCCCCUUCAGCACACAGCACUUUUUAAGGUAAAACACCCGGAUUUUCCAGGUAGUUUAAAAACACAUCAAAUAAUCAUAAAAAUACCCCCGAUUUCCAGGUAGACAUCCACUCCGUGGACUAGUGCUUCGCCUGAUAAAAAAAUAACCCAAUUUUUUCAAGGGUAAACUGAAAAGCAGUGGGCUCCUUCAGCACAAAAUUGAAUACAGCUUCAUUCAAACAAAUUCAGGUAAAGUCCUCAUUGUGGUUUCUCUAUAAAUAAUGAAAUUCCAACAAACUUUAUUUAAUCGUUUAUUUCAAAUUAUUAUUUAUAAUUUUUCUGACAUCAAUGAUGAUGAAGAUGAUUUCGGUGGCGACGGUGUUGUUGAGGGAGGUGACGGUGACGGCGACGGGGAAGAUGGCGAAGGGCAUGGUGCCCUAACUCCUUCUUUGCACCUACAAAAAAAAGUUACAGUUUGUAUUAGAUAUAUAUAAUGGAUGAUAACAAACACAAGAUGUUGUUUUUAAUACUGUAAUAAAAUAAUAUACUUUAAA